rnacentral:misc_RNA from 1 species
AACUUUUGGCAAUGGAUCACUUGGCUCUCGCAUCGAUGAAGAACGCAGCGAAAUGCGAUACGUAAUGUGAAUUGCAGAAUUCAGCGAAUCAUCGAAUCUUUGAACGCACCUUGCGCCCUUUGGUAUUCCGAGGGGCACACCCGUUUGAGUGUCGUGACAUUCUCAAAACCUUCUCGGUUUCUCGACCGGGAAGGCUUUGGACUUUGGAGGCUUUUGCUGGCAUUCCUUUGUUGGAGCCAGCUCCUCUGAAAUGAAUUAGUGGGGUCUGCUUUGCCGAUCCUUGACGUGAUAAGAUGUUUUCUACGUCUUGGGUUUUAGCACUCCUGCUUCUAACCGUCUCACAGUAGACAAAUGGUCCACUCGACCCACAAACCUUGACCUCAAAUCGGGUGAGACUACCCGCUGAACUUAAGCAUAUCAAUAAGCGGAGGCU